GCAUAUCAAUAAGCGGAGGAAAAGAAACUAACAAGGAUUCCCUCAGUAACGGCGAGUGAAGCGGGAAGAGCUCAAAUUUAAAAUCUGGUUUGCUUGCAAGCCCGAGUUGUAGUCUGAAGAAACGUUUUCCAUAAGCACUGAGGCAAAAGUCCCUUGGAACAGGGCAUCAUAGAGGGUGAGAAUCCCGUCCAUGGUCUCAAGUUGUUUAUUUUGUGAUACGUUUUCAAAGAGUCAGGUUGUUUGGGAAUGCAGCCUAAAAUGGGUGGUAAAUUUCAUCUAAAGCUAAAUAUUGGCGAGAGACCGAUAGCGAACAAGUACCGUGAGGGAAAGAUGAAAAGAACUUUGAAAAGAGAGUUAAACAGUACGUGAAAUUGUUGAAAGGGAACCGUUUGAAGCCAGUCUUACUUGCCUGUGAUCAAUUUUUGCUUCGGCAUGAAUGCACUCUCGGGUAUGGUAGGCCAACGACAGUUUGGAAUGCGAGAAAAAAAUAAGGGAAAUGUGGCCUUCGGGUGUUAUAGUCCCUUAUAAAAUAUCGUGUUCUGGACUGAGGAUCGCAGCAAAAAUGUGGGCAGGUGGAUUUCUGUGGUAACUGUCGGUUAGGACAACUUGUUGACCUAGUCUUCCUUAGCCUCACUAUUUACCUCGCUUCUAAUUUGCUUAGGUCGUUGGCAUAAUGGCUUUAAAUGACCCGUCUUGAAACACGGACCAAGGAGUCUAACAUAUAUGCGAGUAUUUGGGUGGCAAACCCAUAUGCGCAAUGAAAGUGAAAUUAGGUGCCAAACCUUCACGGGUGGCAGCAUCGGCCGGCUUUGACGUUUUAACUGACGAGUCUGAGCAGAAGCAUACAUGUUGGGACCCGAAAGAUGGUGAACUAUGCCUGAAUAGGGUGAAGCCAGAGGAAACUCUGGUGGAGGCUCGUAGCGAUUCUGACGUGCAAAUCGAUCGUCAAAUUUGGGUAUAGGGGCGAAAGACUAAUCGACCAUCUAGUAGCUGGUUCCUGCCGA
rnacentral:rRNA from 1 species